rnacentral:rRNA from 1 species
AACGAACGCUAGCGGUGUGGAUUAGGCAUGCAAGUCGUGCGCGAAAGUCUUCGGACAAGUAAAGCGGCGAAAGGGUGAGUAACACGUAAUCAACGUACCCCUUAGAUUGGAAUAACCUCUGGAAACGGUGGGUAAUGCCAAAUGGUCCGCCGGCAGGCAUCUGCUGGACGGUAAACGGCGGCGCUCGACUUCGGUCGGGGCUGUUGCUGAGGGAGCGGGUUGCGGCCUAUCAGCUUGUUGGUGGGGUAACGGCCUACCAAGGCGAUGACGGGUAGCGGGUCUGAGAGGAUGAUCCGUCACACUGGGACUGAGACACUGCCCAGACUCCUACGGGAGGCUGCAGUCGAGAAUCUUCCACAAUGGACGAAAGUCUGAUGGAGCGACACCGCGUGCAGGAUGAAGGCCUUAGGGUUGUAAACUGCUGUCACGCUAUAGGAACCACUGGUAGUGAAUAGCUGCCAGUCUGACCAAAGCGAGAGAG